GUCCGUUUCCCUGCUUGCACCCGAACGGGUGGGCUGUGACCUUCGAGGUAGGGGAAACAUAAAUUUCAGAGAGGC
rfam:Fibrobacter sp. TWCM genome assembly, contig: Ga0136281_101